rnacentral:rRNA from 1 species
UACGUAGGGGGCUAGCGUUGUCCGGAUUUAUUGGGCGUAAAGAGCGUGUAGGCGGCCAGGUAGGUCUGGUGUGAAAACUCGAGGCUUAACCUCGAGAUGUCAUCGGAAACCAUUUGGCUAGAGUCCGGAAGAGGAGAGUGGAAUUCCUGGUGUAGCGGUGAAAUGCGCAGAUAUCAGGAAGAACACCAAUUGCGAAGGCAGCUCGCUGGGACGUUACUGACGCUGAGACGCGAAAGCGUGGGGAGCAAACAGG